AAUGCGUUAAUAUUCGUAUGCCUCCCAUACAUUAAAUGGUGACGGCUUGGGCAAAACUUGUGGAUCAUAUGUCAGGUCCACUUGCACUAAAUUUCUGGAGAACUGUCACAGUGAGAAGGAAAUAAAGUCCCAGGUCCCGUGAAAAGCCGUAUGGGAUGUCCGUACCGAGAACUGAAACAGGUGUUUUAGGGUGAGUAGCCUAAGGCGUAUCGGAUACAAGUAUCGCGAGGGAACUCGGCAAAAUAGCUCCGUAACUUCGGGAGAAGGAGUGCCAGAUUGGGAACAAUCUGGUCGCAGUGACUAGGGAGCUCCGACUGUUUAAUAAAAACAUAGGGGACUGCCAGAUCGAAAGGUUGUGUAUAGUCCCUGAAUCCUGCUCAGUGCUGGUAUCUUAAAUCGGGUUUCAACCUGACGAAGGACCAGUAAACAGCGGGGGUAACUAUGACCCUCUUAAGGUAGCGUAAUACCUUGUCGCUUAAUUGGCGACUUGCAUGAAUGGUCCAACGAGGGCUCCACUGUCCCCGCGAUACGUCCGGCGAAAUUGACUUUACUGGCGCACAGUCCAGUACAUUCUACCCGCAAGCGAAGACCCCAUAGAGCUUUACUGCAGCCUGUCGUUGCAUAGUCGCUUUCCAUGUACUGUGUAGGUGGGAGAUGUUGAUCCCUGGGACGUCAGUCCUGGGGGGAGUCGAAAAUAGAGACACCACCCUUGGAGAGUAACUAUGCUAACUGUUUAUCAGGACACCGAUUGGUGGGCAGUUUGGGUGGGGCGCCACGCGCUCGAAAACCUAACAAGCGUGCCCAAAGGUCAGCUUAAGUGGUUCAGCACUCCACUGUUAACUGUAAGGGGAAAAGCUGGCUUGACGUGGAUCGGCACAAUAACGAUCGACGAUGCGAAAGCAGGGCCUAACGAACCUACCAGGCUUAUAUUUGAGGCCGGUAGAUAACAGAAAAGUUACCUUGGGGAUAAUUGAGUUGUCACCAGCAAGAGCUCACAUCGACCUGGUGGCUUGCUACUUCGAUGUCGUCUCUUCCUAUCCUGGGUCUGCAGCAGGACCCAAGGGUGGGGUUGUUCGCCCAUUAAAAGGGAUCGUGAGAUGGGUUUAGACCGUCGUGAGACAGGUUUGUUGCUUGGUGGUAGAAUCGUGUAAGGUGUCUGAUGGAAGAGGUCCUUUAGUACGAGAGGAACGAGGGCUUGGGGCCACUAGUUUACCAGUUGUCUGACAAGGCAAUGCUGGGUAGCCACGCCCUGAAGGAUAAGAGCUGAAAGCAUCUAAGCUCGAAGCCACCCCAAAGACGAGACACCUCAGAAC
rnacentral:rRNA from 1 species